rnacentral:rRNA from 1 species
GAUGAACGCUAGCGGCAGGCCUAACACAUGCAAGUCGAGGGAGGAGCUUUCGGGCUUCGACCGGCGUACGGGUGCGUAACGCGUAUACAAUCUGCCUUUCACAUAGGGAUAGCCCGAAGAAAUUUGGAUUAAUACCUAAUGGUAUAUAGAGGUGGCAUCACCUUUAUAUUAAGCUGAGGCGGUGAAAGAUGAGUAUGCGUUCUAUUAGCUAGUUGGAGAGGUAACGGCUCCCCAAGGCGACGAUAGAUAGGGGUUCUGAGAGGGAUAUCCCCCACACUGGUACUGAGAUACGGACCAGACUCCUACGGGAGGCAGCAGUGAGGAAUAUUGGACAAUGGUCGGAAGACUGAUCCAGCCAUGCCGCGUGCAGGAAGACGGCCUUAUGGGUUGUAAACUGCUUUUGCAGGGGAAGAAUAAGGACUACGCGUAGUUUGAUGACGGUACUCUGCGAAUAAGCAUCGGCUAACUCCGUG